rnacentral:rRNA from 1 species
UACGGGGGGGGCAAGCGUUGUUCGGAAUUACUGGGCGUAAAGGGCUCGUAGGCGGCCAACUAAGUCGGAUGUGAAAUCCCCAGGCUCAACUUGGGAACUGCAUCCGAUACUGGAUGGCUUGAAUUCGGGAGAGGGAUGCAGAAUUCCAGGUGUAGCGGUGAAAUGCGUAGAUAUCUGGAGGAACACCGGUGGCGAAGGCGGCAUUCUGGACCGACAUUGACGCUGAGGAGCGAAAGCCAGGGGAGCAAACGGG